rnacentral:rRNA from 1 species
GAUGAACGCUAGCUACAGGCUUAACACAUGCAAGUCGAGGGGCAUCGGGAAGAAAGCUUGCUUUCUUUGCCGGCGACCGGCGCACGGGUGAGUAACACGUAUCCAACCUGCCCUCUACUCGGGGAUAGCCUUUCGAAAGAAAGAUUAAUACCCGAUGGCAUAAUGAUUCCGCAUGGUUUUCAUUAUUAAAGGAUUCCGGUAAAGGAUGGGGAUGCGUUCCAUUAGGUUGUUGGUGGGGUAACGCCCACCAAGCCCUUCGAUGGAUAGGGGUUCUGAGGAGGACGGUCCCC